AUUGAACGCUGGCGGCAGGCCUAACACAUGCAAGUCGAACGAGUGGCGGACGGGCGAGUAAUGUCUGGGAAACUGCCUGAUGGAGGGGGAUAACUACUGGAAACGGUAGCUAAUACCGCAUACCAUCAGAUGUGCCCAGAGGGGAUUAGCUAGUAGGUGGGGUAAUGGCUCACCUAGGCGACGAUCCCUAGCUGGUCUGAGAGGAUGACCAGCCACACUGGAACUGAGACACGGUCCAGACUCCUACGGGAGGCAGCAGUAGGGAAUAUUGCACAAUGGACGCAAGCCUGAUGCAGCCAUGCCGCGUGUAUGAAGAAGGCCUUCGGGUUGUAAAGUACUUUCAGCGGGGAGGCGUUACCCGCAGAAGAAGCACCGGCUAACUCCGUGCCAGCAGCCGCGGUAAUAC
rnacentral:rRNA from 1 species